UGGGGAAUAUGGCGCAAUGGGCGAAAGCCUGACGCAGCGAGGCGGCGGGAGGGAUGAAGGUUUUCGGAUCGUAAACCUCUGUAAGAAGGGAAGAAACCGCACGGUGCUAAUAAGAAGUGCCUUGACGUAACCUUCAAAGGAAGCACCGGCUAACUCGGUGCCAGCAGCCGCGGUAAUACGGAGGGUGCAAGCGUUAAUCGGAAUUACUGGGCGUAAAGCGCACGUAGGCUGCUUUGUAAGUCAGGGGUGAAAUCCCACGGCUCAACCGUGGAACUGCCUUUGAUACUGCUUAGCUUGAAUCCGGGAGAGGGUGGCGGAAUUCCAGGUGUAGGAGUGAAAUCCGUAGAUAUCUGGAGGAACAUCAGUGGCGAAGGCGGCCACCUGGACCGGUAUUGACGCUGAGGUGCGAAAGCGUGGGGAGCAAACAGG
rnacentral:rRNA from 1 species